rnacentral:pre_miRNA from 1 species
UGGCUGUAGGGGCGCGCACGACAGGGAGGGGCGGGGCCGACGCGGAACCGAGGUUGGUCUCGCGCUGCGGUCGCGAGCGCGUUGAGGGACUGUGUUCC